rnacentral:RNase_P_RNA from 1 species
UGAGUAAAUCAGAUGUUCGCAUAUACUGUACCGAAAGGUCGUAUAUGAGGAAAGUCCGGGCUCCAUAGGGCAGGGUGCCGGGUAACUCCCGGUGAAGGCGACUUCAAGGAAAGUGCAACAGAAAUAUACCGCCUGCAAUUUAUUGCAUGGUAAGGGUGGAAAGGUGAGGUAAGAGCUCACCAGACAGCAUGGUAACUUGCUGUCUCUGUAAACCCCACCUGGAGCAACACCGCAUUAGGGAUGAUGACGCGGCCCGCUAGUCCCGUUUAGGUGGCUUGAGCCAUACAGAAAUGUAUGGCCUAGAUAGAUGAACAUCUAAUACAGAACCCGGCUUAUAGAUUUACUCAUAUA